CGUUAAGUUGCAGGGUAUAGACCCGAAACCCGGUGAUCUAGCCAUGGGCAGGUUGAAGGUUGGGUAACACUAACUGGAGGACCGAACCGACUAAUGUUGAAAAAUUAGCGGAUGACUUGUGGCUGGGGGUGAAAGGCCAAUCAAACCGGGAGAUAGCUGGUUCUCCCCGAAAGCUAUUUAGGUAGCGCCUCGUGAAUUCAUCUCCGGGGGUAGAGCACUGUUUCGGCAAGGGGGUCAUCCCGACUUACCAACCCGAUGCAAACUGCGAAUACCGGAGAAUGUUAUCACGGGAGACACACGGCGGGUGCUAACGUCCGUCGUGAAGAGGGAAACAACCCAGACCGCCAGCUAAGGUCCCAAAGUCAUGGUUAAGUGGGAAACGAUGUGGGAAGGCCCAGACAGCCAGGAUGUUGGCUUAGAAGCAGCCAUCAUUUAAAGAAAGCGUAAUAGCUCACUGGUCGAGUCGGCCUGCGCGGAAGAUGUAACGGGGCUAAACCAUGCACCGAAGCUGCGGCAGCGACGCUGAUGCGUUGUUGGGUAGGGGAGCGUUCUGUAAGCCUG
rnacentral:rRNA from 1 species